AUUGAACGCUGGCGGCAUGCCUAACACAUGCAAGUCGAACGGAGAUAGGGGCAACCUUAUUUCAGUGGCGGACGGGUGAGGAAUGCGUCGGAAUCUGCCCUAUGGUGGGGGAUAACACAGGGAAACUUGUGCUAAUACCGCAUAAUGUCGAGAGACCAAAGCAGGGGACCGCAAGGCCUUGCGCGAUAGGAUGAGCCGACGCCCGAUUAGCUUGUUGGUAGGGUAAUGGCCUACCAAGGCGACGAUCGGUAGCUGGUCUGAGAGGAUGAUCAGCCACACUGGGACUGAGACACGGCCCAGACUCCUACGGGAGGCAGCAGUGGGGAAUAUUGGACAAUGGGCGCAAGCCUGAUCCAGCAAUGCCGCGUGUGUGAAGAAGGCCUGCGGGUUGUAAAGCCCUUUUGUCCGGAAAGAAAAGCAUUCGGUUAAUACCCGGGUGUUCUGACGGUACCGGAAGAAUAAGCACCGGCUAACUUCGUGCCAGCAGCCGCGGUAAAGUAC
rnacentral:rRNA from 1 species